rnacentral:rRNA from 1 species
GGGCCCGCACAAGCAGUGGAGUAUGUGGUUUAAUUCGAAGCAACGCGAAGAACCUUACCAGGUCUUGACAUCGAGUGAAGAUGCUAGAGAUAGCAUCGUCCUUCGGGACACGAAGACAGGUGGUGCAUGGUUGUCGUCAGCUCGUGUCGUGAGAUGUUGGGUUAAGUCCCGCAACGAGCGCAACCCUUAUCAUUAGUUGCUACGCAAGAGCACUCUAAUGAGACUGCCGUUGACAAAACGGAGGAAGGUGGGGAUGACGUCAAAUCAUCAUGCCCCUUAUGACCUGGGCUACACACGUACUACAAUGGCGAUAAACAGAGUGUUGCGACACCGCGAGGUGAAGCUAAUCACAAAAAAUCGUCUCAGUUCGGAUUGUAGGCUGCAACUCGCCUACAUGAAGCUGGAAUUGCUAGUAAUCGCGAAUCAGAAUGUCGCGGUGAAUACGUUCCCGGGCCUU